GUCUACACCCAUAUCACCCUGAACGUGCCUGAUCUCUUCUGAUCUCAGAAGCUAAGCACAAUCGGGCCUGGUUAGUACUUGGAUGGGAUA
rnacentral:rRNA from 1 species